rnacentral:rRNA from 1 species
GAUGAACGCUAGCUACAGGCUUAACACAUGCAAGUCGCAGGGUAACAUGAGGAAAGCUUGCUUUCCUUGAUGCCGACUGGCGCACGGGUGAGUAACGCGUAUCCAACCUUCCCAUAACUACGGGAUAACCCGUUGAAAGACGGCCUAAUACCGUAUGAUAUCGUUUGCUGACAUCAAAUAACGAUUAAAGGUUUAGCGGUUAUGGAUGGGGAUGCGUCUGAUUAGCUUGUUGGCGGGGUAACGGCCCACCAAGGCGACGAUCAGUAGGGGUUCUGAGAGGAAGGUCCCCCACAUUGGAACUGAGACACGGUCCAAACUCCUACGGGAGGCAGCAGUGAGGAAUAUUGGUCAAUGGGCGAGAGCCUGAACCAGCCAAGUAGCGUGCAGGAUGACGGCCCUAUGGGUUGUAAACUGCUUUUAGGUGGGGAUAAAGUGCGUGACGUGUCAUGCAUUGCAGGUACCACAUGAAUAAGGACCGGCUAAUUCCGUG